GACGAACGCUGGCGGCGUGCCUAAUACAUGCAAGUCGAGCGAACCAAUAAGAAGCUUGCUUUUUGUUGGUUAGCGGCGGACGGGUGAGUAACACGUGGGUAACCUGCCUGUAAGACCGGGAUAACUCCGGGAAACCGGUGCUAAUACCGGAUAGAUUAUCUUUCCGCCUGGAGAGAUAAGGAAAGAUGGCUAUUGCCAUCACUUACAGAUGGGCCCGCGGCGCAUUAGCUAGUUGGUGAGGUAACGGCUCACCAAGGCGACGAUGCGUAGCCGACCUGAGAGGGUGAUCGGCCACACUGGGACUGAGACACGGCCCAGACUCCUACGGGAGGCAGCAGUAGGGAAUCUUCGCAAUGGACGAAAGUCUGACGGAGCAACGCCGCGUGAGCGAAGAAGGUCUUCGGAUCGUAAAGCUCU
rnacentral:rRNA from 1 species